UGUGCGGGCAGAUUUUUUGUUGUCUGAACUCUCGCCCUCUUGGUUACGUCUCUUUGAUCAUUUGUUACUACCAUUCGCUUGAAUUAAUUUUUUUUAAAUUUACAACCCAAAUUUACACAUAUAUCUAUGUUUGGCUUGCUUUUUCUUGCAGGUGUAUGAAUUGAUUUUUCUUGCAGGCAUUUGGGAAUUACGUUUCUUUGGGAUUGAUGAAAGAUUGAUUCACUGUAGACAGUUACUAUAGGUACUCAUUGUAGGUCAGUGGUCCUGGAAUUGCUUUCUUGUGUUUCGGCUAGGUCUUGGUCUCUCUAUUCAUUUACAGGUUUGCCCUUUUUUUGUGUUCCAGCUUCGGCUUGCUCUUGGUCUCUCUGUUCAUAUACAGGUUUCCCGCUUCUUCAAGAAUUACAUUCAUUUUUUGCUGGUGACAUUUACUUUUUACACCUGAUUUUAUUCGGCCGAGUGAAUUCUGAGACGGAGAUGAGUUCGGCCACGUUUGUUGAUGGCGCCACUCCGAAGAGUACCUUUGCGCGUCCGACGACUUCUUUUGCUUUACGGCUCUUAUAUAAAUUGUACGACUCCCGCUGAAAAAAUGAGGCGGCAUUAUACGACAGCCAGGAUUUACAGAGGUGAAAUGCGUUCUUGUUUCUGUUACUCAAUGUACUUCAUUUUUAUUGAGUCUAUUUUUCUCGGUUCCGAAAUUACGGAUGUUUAUUGUGCUCUAAAUUUUGCUUACGAUUCUUUUCAUAAGUAAGAAGAAUGCACGAGUAUCAACGAUCUUUUAGAACAUUAUUUAAUUUAGGGGAAAGUACAGUUUGCACCCCUGAACUAUGGAUCAUGUCACAAACACCCCAUAAACUACAAAAUGUAACAAAUCAACCCUUCCGUUUCAAAUCCGUUUGUAUAUGCUGAUGGGCCUGUUGACUUUUACUUUUUUAAUAACUUUUGUUGUUGUUGAA